AUGGCGGCAGAGGACCAGCCUGAGCCUAUUAAUCAGCCUAAGGUAAGUGCUGCUUCCAUCUCAUAUUUUAAUCUCCUCCUUUCUGCUGUGUUAAAGAAAUUAUAUCUGUGGCUUAAAUAACAUUUAGAAAUGAAAUUGUUUGCCAAGUGAAUGAGACAAUCAAACCAGUCGUUUAGAGUUGGGGAUUAAAUAUGAAUCUCAUUUACCUUUAUUAUCCGUGCAUUUCUCGCUAAUCAUCAUAACUCAGACUAUUUAAACUUCAUUGAAAAUGUAGCCAGUAAUGGAGUGCCAUUAAUAUUUGUUUGUGAUGAUUCCAGCCUGAGCUGAGCAAAUCUUAAGAAAGCCAGCCCAUCUUCUCUUGUGUUUGGGAAGCAGGGAGAAGCCAAGUUGGAGGAUCUGGCCUGCCCUGCUUCAGUGGCUUCAUGCACAUUCAGAUUACAAUUGCCAACUUUCUUCCCAAGCAUCUCUUCCUUGCAAAAGGGUAUCAGUAGAACGAAGCUUUCCAAGAGAAAAAUGCUCCAAUGCCUGCCUCCAUGUUGAAGUAUCUUUAAGAGUCAGCUUUCUAGCAAUAAAUGCCACCAAGCUAGUUAACUGAGACCACCAACUGCAGAAGGAUUUCCAGUUGGAAAUUUCAUGGAGGCAGACUCCUCCCGCCCCCACCUUGAGCCCUUUUAAUCUCAUCACCCAUUCCCUCCAAUGUGGUAGGAAGAGACUGGGUGGCAAGUGUAUUUAAGACUCCAAGGAAAAGGGCUGUAAAGUCAACCUUGGUAACUUAACUGAAACAGUAUAUGUGUAAAUCCAUCGAAAAUCCCUGGCCUUUUACAACUCCUGUCCCAAUGGAAAUCAGAUCAUAGGACUAUUUACAAGAGACCACGAUUCAUUUGGAUAAAGACCCAUGACAGCACAGCCCAGGAUUAUUUGAAAUUUUAGUAACCUAAGCUUUAAAAAUAUUCUAAAAGCAAAAUAAUGAGGGGCAGGUAAUUGCCACGAGCUAAUUACUUAUGAUAUUUCAUAUACAUAAUCGGCGAACAAUCUCCAUAAAUGUCAGCUCAUGGCACUUUGGCAAUCACUUGUAAUUUUUAUUGUUUAAAGAAAUGUCAACAUUUCCAUUUUCCCCAACUUCAGUUAACCUGGGCCCUACCCACGGUUAAAUGGGCCCCCGGAAGAGCGCUUCACCCGGCCGUUUCAGAGCGUUCCACAAUUU
rnacentral:lncRNA from 1 species